UACGUAGGGUGCAAGCGUUGUCCGGAAUUAUUGGGCCUAAAGCAUCCGUAGCCGGUUCUACAAGUCUUCCGUUAAAUCCACCUGCUUAACAGAUGGGCUGCGGAGGAUACUAUAGAGCUAGGAGGCGGGAGAGGCAAGCGGUACUUAGUGGGUAGGGGUAAAAUCCGUUGAUCCAUUGAAGACCACCAGUGGCGAAGGCGGCUUGCCAGAACGCACUCGACGGUGAGGGAUGAAAGCUGGGGGAGCAAACCGG
rnacentral:rRNA from 1 species